GAUGAACGCUGGCGGCGUGCCUAAUACAUGCAAGUCGAGCGAACAGACGAGGAGCUUGCUCCUCUGACGUUAGCGUCGGACGGGUGAGUAACACGUGGAUAACCUACCUAUAAGACUGGGAUAACUUCGUGAAACCGGAGCUAAUACCGGAUAAUAUAUUUAACCUCAUCGUUCAAUAGGGAAAGACGGUUUUGCUGUCACUUAUAGAUGGAUCCGCGCCGCAUUAGCUAGUUGGUAAGGUAACGGCUUACCAAGGCAACGAUGCGUAGCCGACCUGAGAGGGUGAUCGGCCACACUGGAACUGAGACACGGUCCAGACUCCUACGGGAGGCAGCAGUAGGGAAUCUUCCGCAAUUGGCGAAAGCCUGCCGGAGCAACGCCGCGUGAGUGAUGAAGGUCUUCGGAUCGUAAAACUCUGUUAUUAGGGAAGACCAAAUGUGUAAGUAACUAUGCACGUCUUGACGGUACCUAAUCAGAAAGCCACGGCUAACUACGUG
rnacentral:rRNA from 1 species